GCCUUCGUGGUGUAGUGUUCAGCACGCUCGGCGCGUAUUCGAGAGGUCCGUGGUUCGAGUCCCGGCGAGGGCA
rnacentral:tRNA from 1 species